rnacentral:rRNA from 1 species
AUGAACGCUGACAGAAUGCUUAACACAUGCAAGUCAACUUGAAUUUGGGUUUUUAACUUAGGUUUGGGUGGCGGACGGGUGAGUAACGCGUAAAGAACUUGCCUCACAGCUAGGGACAACAUUUGGAAACGAAUGCUAAUACCUAAUAUUAUGAUAAUAGGGCAUCCUAUAAUUAUGAAAGCUAUAAGCGCUGUGAGAGAGCUUUGCGUCCCAUUAGCUAGUUGGAGAGGUAACGGCUCACCAAGGCGAUGAUGGGUAGCCGGCCUGAGAGGGUGAUCGGCCACAAGGGGACUGAGACACGGCCCUUACUCCUACGGGAGGCAGCAGUGGGGAAUAUUGGACAAUGGACCAAGAGUCUGAUCCAGCAAUUCUGUGUGCACGAUGAAGUUUUUCGGAAUGUAAAGUGCUUUCAGUUGGGAGGAAAGAAAUGACGGUACCAACAGAAGAAGUGACGGCUAAAUACGUG